rnacentral:rRNA from 1 species
AUUGAACGCUGGCGGAAUGCUUUACACAUGCAAGUCGAACGGCAGCACGGGGGCAACCCUGGUGGCGAGUGGCGAACGGGUGAGUAAUGUAUCGGAACGUGCCCAGUCGUGGGGGAUAACGUAGUGAAAAUUACGCUAAUACCGCAUACGAUCUACGGAUGAAAGCGGGGGAUCGCAAGACCUCGCGCGAUUGGAGCGGCCGAUAUCAGAUUAGCUAGUUGGUGGGGUAAAAGCCCACCAAGGCGACGAUCUGUAGCUGGUCUGAGAGGACGACCAGCCACACUGGAACUGAGACACGGUCCAGACUCCUACGGGAGGCAGCAGUGGGGAAUUUUGGGACAAUGGGCGCAAGCCUGAUCCAGCAAUGCCGCGUGCAGGAUGAAGGCCUUCGGGUUGUAAACGUGCUUUUGUACGGUAGCGAAACGGCGUCUCUUUAAUACUAGGGGCGUAAUGACGGUACCGUAAGAAUAAGACACCGGCUAACUACGUGCCAGCAGCCGCGGUAAC